UACGGAGGGUGCGAGCGUUGUCCGGAAUCACUGGGCGUAAAGGGCGCGUAGGCGGCCUGAUAAGUAGGGGGUGAAAUCCUGCGGCUUAACCGCAGGGCUGCCUUCUAAACUGUCGGGCUAGAGCACGGUAGAGGCAGAUGGAAUUCCCGGUGUAGCGGCGGAAUGCGCAGAUAUCAGGAGGAACACCGAUGGCGAAGGCAGUUCUCUGGGCCACUACUGACGCUGAGAAGCGAAAGCAUGGGGAGCGAACAGG
rnacentral:rRNA from 1 species